GCAAGUCGAACGCGAACGAGUUCUUCGGAACUUUAGUAGAGUGGCGCACGGGUGAGUAACGCGUAAGUAAUCUACCCUCGCAUCCGGGCUAACCCACCGACAGGUGUGCUAAUACCUGAUACGUCUGGAAUUAUACUUUGAAUUCCGAGAACGGUUUCCUCUUCAUGAAAGCUACUGUGCGGGGAGGAGCUUGCGUACCAUUAGCUAGUUGGUAGGGUAACGGCCUACCAAGGCGAUGAUGGUUAGCGGGUCUGAGAGGAUGAUC
rnacentral:rRNA from 1 species